UUGUUCGUUAGUCAUGUUUUAAUUGGUCGCCAUCUUGGAUUUCUUGACAGACGUCAUAUUUGUCAUAGUCAGCAAAGUUAAUAAGCUCUUAAAGAAGUUGCAAGAUGGCACUCAGUGCUCGAGGUAGCCAUGGUGGCAACUCUCGCCUUGACCCAAUUAGCCCUAAUCGUCGAGAAUCACGUCGAGAAGCUGUCAGUUGUCAAAUGUCAAGAUUUUCGGAACUGUUAACCAGGGUCAGAGUGUAUUUUAGGCGAGAGUUCUCUAAUGUUCUCGUUUGAUUUUAUUGCCGUAUGUGGCCAGUAUAGAAAUGACAUGGAUCGCCUGGAUAAAACUGUCCAUAUCUCAAAAACUAGUCAAAAAUAUGUUGGAAACUUUUGAAGUUCCUUGUAGGGGAAACUUGAGCGCACACCACUGUCCAGGUUUGGAAACUCUAGCUCAGCUAUUUUCAUUCGAAAAGGAUUUUAAAGUCACCUUAUCAAUUAAUUUAAAUAUUUUUACGCGGCUAUCAUAGACCGCCCGAACAAACCUGGACAUAUCUCAAAAACUGGUCAAAAAUAUUUUGAAAACUUUUGAAGUUUCUUGUAAGGGAAACUUGAGCGCACACCAUCGUCCAGGUUUGGAAACUCUAGCUCAGCUAGUUUCAUUGGAAACGGAUUUUAAAGUCA